rnacentral:rRNA from 1 species
CCUACGGGUGGCAGCAGUGGGGAAUAUUGGUCAAUGGCCGAAAGUCUGAACCAGCCAAGUAGCGUGAAGGAAGAAGGCCCUAUGGGUUGUAAGCUUCUUUUAUACGGGGAUAAAGUUGUACACGUGUGGAAGUUUGCAGGUACCGUAUGAAUAAGGACCGGCUAAUUCCGUGCCAGCAGCCGCGGUAAUACGGAGGAUCCGGGCGUUAUCCGGAUUUAUUGGGUUUAAAGGGAGCGUAGGAGGGUUGUUAAGCGUGCGGUGAAAGUUUGUGGCUCAACCCUGGAAUUGCGGGGGAGACUGGGGAACUUGAGUGCGGGGGAGGCAGGCGGAAUUCCUGGUGUAGCGGUGAAAUGCUUAGAUAUCACGAAGAACCCCGAUUGCGAAGGCAGCCUGCUGGACUGUUACUGACGCUGAGGCUCGAAAGCGUGGGUAUCGAACAGGAUUAGAUACCCUAGUAGUC